GUAAAAUAAGAUGUAUGCAUCCUCGGACAUCACUUGGCUCAUCGAGACUGAAUGUACCUGAAAGGGAUACACCAAAACCGCGUUUCAAUUCCAUUGCCAACAUAUUUUCAAUGAGCAGCUGGCGGUGAUAACUUUACCUCGGUAUCAUCUAACCUGAACCAGCUGCCUCGCAUAUCUUUUACAUAUGACACAUAGUGUCC